CUCGUCGGGGGCAAGUUGAUUUAUCUCCUGCUAUUUGUUUUUCGGCCGAGAGAGAUGACUGUUAAACCCACGGUGUGGCAUGCACAUUGCACAUGCAGUUCUGCACACAGGUAUUGUGAAGAAAGAACGAUGGUGGCACAAUGGACAAGCGAAAGACAAGGCGGAGGAGGAAGACUGAAUUACAGAAGAGAAUGGACACAGUGAGUGUUUCUGGAGAUUUAUGGCUGAUAUACAAGUGAGUUACAGAGCGAAUGUACAGAUAGGGGAAAGAUGUCAGAGCCUCACACAGCACUCCCCCCAUCCCUGCUCUGAACUUUCAUCAGCAUUGCCAUAAUUGCAUUGCCAUAGUUACAGAAAAGGCCCCACCUUUACCUUGUGUCUGAUAAACUCACCAGAGAGACAGAGAAAGAGAGAGAAAGAAAGAAAGAAAGAAAAGAGAUAGAGAAGAGAAGGGAGGGAUGGACUAUAAAAUGCAGAAAGUACAGGGUACUAAUAUGCCCUCAUGUGACAUCAGUGUGUUGCCCUCUGCCAAGCAUCUGUGUGUUCUUGUGAAAGUAAACAUGUCUGUGUAAGUAUGGGGCUGAGGCUGACUCGCUCU